rnacentral:tRNA from 1 species
AAUUAGAAAGCGAAAUAUUUGCAUUUAGUUUCGACCUAAAUUUUGGCCUUUACAGCCUCUAAUUU